rnacentral:rRNA from 1 species
GUGGGGAAUCUUGCGCAAUGGGCGAAAGCCUGACGCAGCCAUGCCGCGUGAAUGAUGAAGGUCUUAGGAUUGUAAAAUUCUUUCACCGGGGACGAUAAUGACGGUACCCGGAGAAGAAGCUCCGGCUAACUUCGUGCCAGCAGCCGCGGUAAUACGAAGGGGGCUAGCGUUGCUCGGAAUUACUGGGCGUAAAGGGCGCGUAGGCGGACAGCUUAGUCAGAGGUGAAAGCCCAGGGCUCAACCUUGGAAUUGCCUUUGAUACUGGCUGUCUUGAGUUUGGGAGAGGUGAGUGGAACUCCGAGUGUAGAGGUGAAAUUCGUAGAUAUUCGGAAGAACACCAGUGGCGAAGGCGACUCACUGGCCCGUUACUGACGCUGAGGCGCGAAAGCGUGGGGAGCAAACAGGAUUAGAAACCCCUGUAGUCC